UAAGUAAAACUCCAACUUCAAAUAAGACACCUGCGUGAAUCAACCACAGUUGUAAUUCCCAGCACAUUAAGUAAAUUACAAUGCUCUAAACAGACAGGCGUUACAUUCUCAGUUUUAGAUUCACAAAUUACUAUAAAGAAAAUAAAAAAGGUUUUCAUAAACUAGUGCUGAUAGUGAUCUAAAUCGUUUCUCAGGCCAUUCAGUCAAGUACUUUGAUUCGUUUUCAUGUUUCGAACUAGUUAAGCUCGUACAUUCUCAGGCAACCAAACCGAUAUCUUGUUUCAGGUCUGCCAAAAGUAGUGACUUCUUUAAAAUCACGGAAACAAAGCAAAUACAUUGUGUCAAGUUUACACAGCAGUUAACUCGUUUACAGUUUCACAUGAUACACGCACACGCAGCACUACACAGCAACAACCAUGGAAAGGAAGGACAGACGCACACAUACAGAUACAGAAGUGGCGUUCUUGUUAUGCUGCUCUCCAUAACAGCCUCAGGCUGAAGUCAAGAUGCGGAAACAUUUAGCCCAGUUCCGGACAGCUCCGGCUGAAUUUAAGCCCGCUGAAAACACCACACAGUAUUCAGUUAUGGAAAAAAGUGAAACGCGGGAAAGCAGGAGGCAAGUAAGCAGUGAAAGAGGAAAGAAAAAUGAAGUUCAACCAACACAUGUAAUAAUCCAAUACUGCUAUUAGAUGCAGAUUAUUUGGGUUUUAGUUUCAACCUUGCUUCGCAUGAUACUGUUUAUUCGACUAUCCAUGGGGCGCCAAAUGUAUUUGUUUAAUUUAUAGCGGUGUUGAUUGUACUGUCUAAAAAAAAAACCCUGUUAUGAUUAAGGAAAAUAUUUUGUUGUGUUAAAUUGCAUUUAAUUAAAAUAUACAUUUAUUACAAAUA